CGAAUGGGGAAACCCAGUGUGUUUCGACACACUAUCAUUAACUGAAUCCAUAGGUUAAUGAGGCGAACCGGGGGAACUGAAACAUCUAAGUACCCCGAGGAAAAGAAAUCAACCGAGAUUCCCCCAGUAGCGGCGAGCGAACGGGGAGCAGCCCAGAGCCUGAAUCAGUGUGUGUGUUAGUGGAAGCGUCUGGAAAGGCGCGCGAUACAGGGUGACAGCCCCGUACACAAAAAUGCACAUGCUGUGAGCUCGAUGAGUAGGGCGGGACACGUGGUAUCCUGUCUGAAUAUGGGGGGACCAUCCUCCAAGGCUAAAUACUCCUGACUGACCGAUAGUGAACCAGUACCGUGAGGGAAAGGCGAAAAGAACCCCGGCGAGGGGAGUGAAAAAGAACCUGAAACCGUGUACGUACAAGCAGUGGGAGCCUCUUUAUGGGGUGACUGCGUACCUUUUGUAUAAUGGGUCAGCGACUUAUAUUCUGUAGCAAGGUUAACCGAAUAGGGGAGCCGAAGGGAAACCGAGUCUUAACUGGGCGUUAAGUUGCAGGGUAUAGACCCGAAACCCGGUGAUCUAGCCAUGGGCAGGUUGAAGGUUGGGUAACACUAACUGGAGGACCGAACCGACUAAUGUUGAAAAAUUAGCGGAUGACUUGUGGCUGGGGGUGAAAGGCCAAUCAAACCGGGAGAUAGCUGGUUCUCCCCGAAAGCUAUUUAGGUAGCGCCUCGUGAAUUCAUCUCCGGGGGUAGAGCACUGUUUCGGCAAGGGGGUCAUCCCGACUUACCAACCCGAUGCAAACUGCGAAUACCGGAGAAUGUUAUCACGGGAGACACACGGCGGGUGCUAACGUCCGUCGUGAAGAGGGAAACAACCCAGACCGCCAGCUAAGGUCCCAAAGUCAUGGUUAAGUGGGAAACGAUGUGGGAAGGCCCAGACAGCCAGGAUGUUGGCUUAGAAGCAGCCAUCAUUUAAAGAAAGCGUAAUAGCUCACUGGUCGAGUCGGCCUGCGCGGAAGAUGUAACGGGGCUAAACCAUGCACCGAAGCUGCGGCAGCGACGCUUAUGCGUUGUUGGGUAGGGGAGCGUUCUGUAAGCCUGUGAAGGUGUACUGUGAGGUAUGCUGGAGGUAUCAGAAGUGCGAAUGCUGACAUAAGUAACGAUAAAGCGGGUGAAAAGCCCGCUCGCCGGAAGACCAAGGGUUCCUGUCCAACGUUAAUCGGGGCAGGGUGAGUCGACCCCUAAGGCGAGGCCGAAAGGCGUAGUCGAUGGGAAACAGGUUAAUAUUCCUGUACUUGGUGUUACUGCGAAGGGGGGACGGAGAAGGCUAUGUUGGCCGGGCGACGGUUGUCCCGGUUUAAGCGUGUAGGCUGGUUUUCCAGGCAAAUCCGGAAAAUCAAGGCUGAGGCGUGAUGACGAGGCACUACGGUGCUGAAGCAACAAAUGCCCUGCUUCCAGGAAAAGCCUCUAAGCAUCAGGUAACAUCAAAUCGUACCCCAAACCGACACAGGUGGUCAGGUAGAGAAUACCAAGGCGCUUGAGAGAACUCGGGUGAAGGAACUAGGCAAAAUGGUGCCGUAACUUCGGGAGAAGGCACGCUGAUAUGUAGGUGAAGCGACUUGCUCGUGGAGCUGAAAUCAGUCGAAGAUACCAGCUGGCUGCAACUGUUUAUUAAAAACACAGCACUGUGCAAACACGAAAGUGGACGUAUACGGUGUGACGCCUGCCCGGUGCCGGAAGGUUAAUUGAUGGGGUUAGCGCAAGCGAAGCUCUUGAUCGAAGCCCCGGUAAACGGCGGCCGUAACUAUAACGGUCCUAAGGUAGCGAAAUUCCUUGUCGGGUAAGUUCCGACCUGCACGAAUGGCGUAAUGAUGGCCAGGCUGUCUCCACCCGAGACUCAGUGAAAUUGAACUCGCUGUGAAGAUGCAGUGUACCCGCGGCAAGACGGAAAGACCCCGUGAACCUUUACUAUAGCUUGACACUGAACAUUGAGCCUUGAUGUGUAGGAUAGGUGGGAGGCUUUGAAGUGUGGACGCCAGUCUGCAUGGAGCCGACCUUGAAAUACCACCCUUUAAUGUUUGAUGUUCUAACGUUGACCCGUAAUCCGGGUUGCGGACAGUGUCUGGUGGGUAGUUUGACUGGGGCGGUCUCCUCCUAAAGAGUAACGGAGGAGCACGAAGGUUGGCUAAUCCUGGUCGGACAUCAGGAGGUUAGUGCAAUGGCAUAAGCCAGCUUGACUGCGAGCGUGACGGCGCGAGCAGGUGCGAAAGCAGGUCAUAGUGAUCCGGUGGUUCUGAAUGGAAGGGCCAUCGCUCAACGGAUAAAAGGUACUCCGGGGAUAACAGGCUGAUACCGCCCAAGAGUUCAUAUCGACGGCGGUGUUUGGCACCUCGAUGUCGGCUCAUCACAUCCUGGGGCUGAAGUAGGUCCCAAGGGUAUGGCUGUUCGCCAUUUAAAGUGGUACGCGAGCUGGGUUUAGAACGUCGUGAGACAGUUCGGUCCCUAUCUGCCGUGGGCGCUGGAGAACUGAGGGGGGCUGCUCCUAGUACGAGAGGACCGGAGUGGACGCAUCACUGGUGUUCGGGUUGUCAUGCCAAUGGCACUGCCCGGUAGCUAAAUGCGGAAGAGAUAAGUGCUGAAAGCAUCUAAGCACGAAACUUGCCCCGAGAUGAGUUCUCCCUGACUCCUUGAGAGUCCUGAAGGAACGUUGAAGACGACGACGUUGAUAGGCCGGGUGUGUAAGCGCAGCGAUGCGUUGAGCUAACCGGUACUAAUGAACCGUGAGGCUUAACCUUACAACGCCGAAG
rnacentral:rRNA from 1 species